AACGAACGCUGGCGGCGUGCCUAACACAUGCAAGUCGAACGGAGUUAGAGAGCUUGCUCUUUGAUUUAGUGGCGCACGGGUGAGUAACGCGUAGAUAAUCUGCCUGAUGAUCUGGGAUAACACUUCGAAAGGGGUGCUAAUACCGGAUAAGCCCACGGAGUCCUUGGACUCUGCGGGAAACGGAGGGGACCUUCGGGCCUUCCGUCAUCAGAUGAGUCUGCGUACCAUUAGCUAGUUGGUAGGGUAAAGGCCUACCAAGGCGACGAUGGUUAGCUGGUCUGAGAGGAUGAUCAGCCACACUGGAACUGAGACACGGUCCAGACUCCUACGGGAGGCAGCAGUGGGGAAUUUUGCGCAAUGGGGGAAACCCUGACGCAGCAACGCCGCGUGAGUGAUGAAGGCCCUUGGGUCGUAAAGCUCUGACAGAGGGAAAGAAAUGUGGGUGGCUAAUAUCCAUUCCACUUGACGGUACCCUCAAAGGAAGCACCGGCUAACUCCGUGCCAGCAGCCGCCGUAACAC
rnacentral:rRNA from 1 species